GUGCCAGCAGGCCGCGGGAGGCGCCGACGAUCAGUAUGUUCUUUGGCAACCCGCAAUCUCGAAGGUCAUGACGUGGGCAAGAAUAGCGCGAGGACCAGCUUCGCGGCCAGUAGGCCGGCAUGCGGCAAUCGACCACUGCCCGAGUGUUGCAAGCCGUUUCGUUGCGAUGGCCAGAGCCGCUCUGUUUCGGCUCUCAUGGGCUAGCUUUGCAGUGCGCCCGGCAAUGAAUCAGCAACCCUGGAGGACCCAAUGCCCGAACAGCAGACCCAAUCGACCCCCCGCUGGCACGCUCGUCCGGCCGAAGAGGCCCUGCUGGAACUGGGCUCCAACAGCGCCGGCCUGACGCACGAGCAAGCACGGGAGCGACUGCUCCGCUACGGGCCGAACCGGCUCGACGAGGCCAAGCCGGCGGGCAUCCUGCGGCGCCUGCUGCGCCACCUGAACAACCUGUUGCUCUACGUGCUGAUGGCCGCGGCCUGCUGGCACAA
rnacentral:rRNA from 1 species